rnacentral:rRNA from 1 species
UACAGAGGUCUCAAGCGUUGUUCGGAUUCAUUGGGCGUAAAGGGUGCGUAGGCGGCGCGGUAAGUCGGGUGUGAAAUCUCGGAGCUUAACUCCGAAACUGCAUUCGAUACUGCCGUGCUUGAGGACUGGAGAGGAGACUGGAAUUUACGGUGUAGCGGUGAAAUGCGUAGAUAUCGUAAGGAAGACCAGUGGCGAAGGCGGGUCUCUGGACAGUUCCUGACACUGAGGCACGAAGGCCAGGGGAGCAAAACGGG